UCUGGACACCUGCCUGUGUGUUAGAAGAGAGAGAGAACAUAUGAGAACGUUCUCAGCUUGUGAUAGUAAAAAUAUACGGGAAACACUCGGAUAAAGUGUUUCUAACUAGUGAAAUAAUCACUACAGAGUUUUUCACUGCUGAUAAAGCCUACAGAGUGGAGGAAAGGAUGAAAGUUUCACUGACUGUAACCAGCCAAACAUUUCUGGAUAGAUGGCUCACAGUAAUCUGCAGGUGGAGGAAGGCCUUUGUGCCUAAUUACACGGAAAAUGGCGUGUAAGAACGCCGGAAUGGACUCGGUCAGAUUUAUGGUUGGAAAUGAUGAUAGAACUGACAAGAACACACUUCACAUGGCUCAGGAUGGCGAGCCAAGCCCCUAAAAGACAACCCAAGGCACUCUGCAGUGGUCUGGUGCUCUGUCCAGGGACUACUCCUGCCUCCCUCCAACCCCAAUGAUUCUGGAUGAACAAUGAAAGGCUGCUGAAUCUGAGUUUGUGCUGCGGUAAAGUAUUCAGCUCUGAGAUAAAAGACUCUACGCCUCUUUCUCCUCCUGUAGUGAAGCUGUGCUCUCUCAGCUGCUCUGCGCUACAGGCUGCCCGAGCCUGGAUGUCCUUCAUAUUGUUAAAAGCUCAGCUGCAUGCCCUGGAACUUUAUCGUUUCUGAAACAGACAAUGUUUUUUCCUUUUUUCUGUCGGAGAUGACGCACACUCUUGUGUUCUCCCUACACUUCAUUCUGCUCUGUAUAAAUCCUGUUUUAAUUACAGUUUUACAUUUUAGUAAAAUUGUCAGAUGUCUUUACAAUAUGUAAGUUGGUUGGGAUGAAUGGAUUUGUAAAAAAAUAUAUAUUACAGUUAUGAGAUGAACACUUUCCAGGUGUAGGUCAGUCUGUAUUUUGUCACAGACUGUAAGAAUGUAAGAAUCAAAGCUUUUAUUUUGGAUUUUACGGUACUGUUUUAUCAGCAAAGUAAUUACUGCUUUUAAUUUCACCAAUAGGCUUUUUAAAACUACACUAAUAUGCUUUUUUUUUCAGCUGAAGGACACAGGUGGAUUUUACAGUCUAUUUAUGAGUAUGAGUAGGACAAUUUAAAGACUGUAUUUACUGUUCACAAAAUACAUUCCAACUAUUUUACUUAAUCUCUCCAAGAUGAUAAUACUCGCAUAACAAAUUUGAAUGUUGCAGGUAAAAUAAAGGAGCUUCUCACCUUUCAA